rnacentral:tRNA from 1 species
GCCGGAAUGGCGGAACAGGCAGACGCCCGGGACUUAAAAUCCCGUGGGAGUUAAUCCCGUACCGGUUCGAUCCCGGUUUCCGGCACCA